rnacentral:rRNA from 1 species
CCUACGGGAGGCAGCAGUGGGGAAUAUUGGACAAUGGGCGGAAGCCUGAUCCAGCCAUGCCGCGUGUGUGAAGAAGGUCUUCGGAUUGUAAAGCACUUUAAGUUGGGAGGAAGGGCAGUUACCUAAUACGUAAUUGUUUUGACGUUACCGACAGAAUAAGCACCGGCUAACUCUGUGCCAGCAGCCGCGGU